AGGGAGAUGCUGGUACAGAGGCUUGGGGUUUUGAGGGCAUCUUAGCAGUAUCUCCCAUC
rnacentral:pre_miRNA from 1 species